UGUUCUAUGGUUUAGGAGGUUAAAGUGCCGGUCUAGCAAAUACGAAGUCGUGGGUUCGAAUCCCACCAGAACGC
rnacentral:tRNA from 1 species